rnacentral:misc_RNA from 1 species
AGUGUUCGUCGUCGAUGAUCGUACGUCAAGUCCUCGUAAAAUUUGCCCGCGUGCCGGUUACACGGUUCGCGCGUGUAUAACGGAAAAUCGUGCGUCUCGUCUGCAUUUUUGCGGAUUCGCGAGAUCGAGGACGUCGCGUGUGGAGGAAACAUUAUCGUGUUUUUGGAAACUUAACGAGAGAUGGCAGAUCUAUCGGAGGAAGUGCCGAUCAAGGAUGCCGCGACGGCGAUCUCCCAGGGCAAACGCCACCUCCUAGUACGCGAUUACAACCUGGCAGUGGUCGUCUUAGCCCAAGCUUGCGAGCUUCUUGCCCAGGAACACGGAGAGACGGGCGACGAGAUGGGUGAACUCUAUCUGCUUUACGGACGAGCCCUUCUAGGUCUGGCACGCGAAGAGGCAGGAGUAUUGGGGGGCGGCGUGCCUGGCUCCGAAGAAGUUAGUCAGGACGAAGGAGUUAGUCAGGGAGAAGAGGAGGAUGAGGAAGACGAGAAUGAAGAGGGGACCAUCGCAGAAAACAAGAAUGGUAUGGAAAAUAGUCCUUGCACAUCGAAUGAUAAAGAAGAUGAUAAACGUGAACUGAAAGAGAGUGAAGAUCCAAAUAGUGAGCAGGACGAGAAGUCAGAGAAGACGGAGAAUUCUGAUAAAACAAUCGAUAGCAAAGUAGAGGAAAACACACAAAAAGAAGAAAUUCCUGGCUGUAGUCGAGAUCCUGAUGUAUAUAAUGGCGAAGCUUCUGGAAGUGGUACAAAAAGAGAAGACGAUGAGGAAGACGGAGAGGCAGAAGAGGAAGACGUUGAGAAGGAGGACGACGUGAAUAAUUUACAGAUCGCUUGGGAAGUCUUGGAACUGGCGAAAUUGGUACUGCUAAAACGUGGGUCCUCAGGUUGGAAAUUGUUAGCUGAGGCAUAUCGUCUUCUGGGCGAGGUAGCGAUGGAAGGUGGCAACCAUGAAAGCGCACUGAUUGAUUUCAAAGCGUGCUUGAAUCUGUUGGAGAAAAUAACUCCACGCGACCAUCGUGCAAUUGCCGAAAUCCAUUAUCAGCUCGGAUUGACUCAUGCAAUGGCAAACAAUUUCGAUGCCAGCAUCGAGGAAUUCAACCAGGCAUCCGCGUUACUAGAGGCGAAGAUUGUACAACUGAAGACAGUGCAGGAUGAUCCACCUCAAUCCGAUGAUCCUUUCUACACUGUUGAAGGUGAAAUCAAGGAACUGCAAGAACUUCUUCCAGAGAUCCAAGAAAAAAUCGCGGACAUCAAAGAUAUGAAAAAAGAAGCCGAUGUAAUCAAGGAGAUUAAGGAAGAGAGGUUGAAUGGAUGCUCUAAAGAUGGCGAGGCGAGCGAAGCUUCCGGAAGUGGUAGUAAUACAUCUAAGCCCGCUAGCGAUAUUUCACAUUUAGUAAGAAAAAAACGCAAGGCAGAAGAUGAAGAAGACAUUGGUUCUGUUUGCAAAAAACCACUCCAAGAAAAAGACGUGAAAGAAUUAAUAAACAUGACUGAAGAGAAAUGUGCAAAGAAACUCAAGCUUGAGGAAUUUCCUGUUUUAAGCGAAGGGAAAGCACAGAUAAUAAUUACGAAUAAAAAAGUCUUUUAUAAUCCAGUUCAAGAAUUCAACAGAGAUCUCAGUAUAGCGGUAUUAACAAUAUUUGCACAAGACAGAUGGAACAAAAUGAUAGAAAAAAAUAAUUUAACAAAUGACAAUAAAACUACUAUAUUACUUGAUACCGGAUUGAAUACAAACAAGCAAGAGGGAAUUACUAUAUUGGAAGCUUUAUCUGCAACAGGUUUGCGUAGCAUACGAUAUGCAAAAGAAGUGAAAGGUAUCAAGCAGAUUGUAGCCAACGAUAUUUCUGCUAAAGCAGUGGACAGUAUCAGACAUAAUGUCUUGCAUAAUGGAGUUGAGAAUUUAGUAACGCCUCAUCAUGAGGAUGCGACAUUGUUGAUGUAUCAGCGUAGACGAAAUCGUUUUGAUGCAGUUGAUUUAGAUCCAUAUGGCUGUCCAUCGAUGUAUCUGGAUGGAGCAGUGCAAUGUGUAGCUGAUGGUGGUAUACUUUUGGUUACUGCUACUGAUAUGGCUGUACUAGCUGGCAAUACUCCGGAAACUUGUUAUUACAAGUAUGGAGCAAUAUCUAUAAAAUCAAAGUCUUGUCACGAGAUAGCGUUACGGAUAUUACUUCAAUGCAUUGCAUCUUAUGCUGGACGAUAUGGACGAUAUAUAGUACCAUUACUAUCUAUAAGUAUUGAUUUUUAUAUAAGAGUAUUUGUCAAAGUCUUCACAGGCCAUAAUAAGUGUAAAGAAAACUCUAGCAAAAUAGGGAUGCUUUAUCAGUGCAAUGGAUGUGAAAGUAUGAGCUUUCAACCAUUAGCAACAAAAAGAUCUUCCAAUAAUUAUAAAUUACCAAAUGCACCUACAGUAGAUCAGCUAUGUAAACAUUGUCAAUAUCGGCAACAUAUGGCAGGUCCAAUAUGGCUAGGAUCUUUACAUGAUCAAGAAUUCGUAUCGCAACUGUUAUGCAACUUGAAUAAUAUAGAGUUAGGUACAUCGAAAAGAAUGGAAGGUGUCUUGACCAUGAUACACGAGGAACUAGAUGUUCCAUUGUAUUAUACGCUGGAUCGCUUGAUGAGCAUAGUUAAAUGUGAUGUUCCAUCAAUAUUGAAAUUCAGAUCUGCGUUAUUAAACGCAGGAUACAAAGUAUCAUAUUCACACGCAAGUAAAACUUCCAUUAAAACGGACGCGUCUAAUGAUGUGAUAUGGGAUAUUGUACGUGCUUGGGAGAAGGAGCAUCCUGCAAAACGCGAGAAACUAGCUGAGGAUAGUCCAGCUGCACGUAUACUUAAUGCAUCGUUUACGAGGGAUAUUUCUUUCGCAGAACAUCCUCUAGCAAAUCCAAUUUCUCGUCAGAGACACUUAUCACGCUUUCAACAAAAUCCCACUGUAAAUUGGGGGCCAGGCGUUCGUGCAACAAUCCGAGUAGAUCUUGAAAAUAAGGCAGAGUCGAAAAAAAUUGUUUGUUGCCAACGAUCAUAAUGCCUGAUAUUCCAACAGUAACGUUUUCCAAUGGAUAUAAAAUGCCGAUGUUGGGUCUUGGAACUUAUAAGUCCGAGAAUAAGGAUGUAGGAAACGCUGUUAAGGAAG